CCUACGGGAGGCAGCAGUGAGGAAUAUUGGUCAAUGGACGCAAGUCUGAACCAGCCAUGCCGCGUGCAGGAAGACGGCUCUAUGAGUUGUAAACUGCUUUUGUACGAGGGUAAAUCCCGAUACGUGUAUCGUGUUGAAUGUAUCGUACGAAUAAGGAUCGGCUAACUCCGUUCCAGCAGCCGCGGUAAUACGGAGGAUUCAAGCGUUAUCCGGAUUUAUUGGGUUUAAAGGGUGCGUAGGCGGUGCGAUAAGUUAGAGGUGAAAUCCCGGGGCUCAACUCCGGCACUGCCUCUGAUACUGUCGGGCUAGAGUGUAGUUGAGGUAGGCGGAAUGGAUGGUGUAGCGGUGAAAUGCAUAGAGAUCAGAAAGAACACCGAUUGCGAAGGCAGCUUACCAAACUACGACUGACGUUGAGGCACGAAAGCGUGGGGAGCAAACAGGAUUAGAUACCCGGGUAGUC
rnacentral:rRNA from 1 species